rnacentral:rRNA from 1 species
UGCGUAGGGGGCAAGCGUUGUCCGGAAUUAUUGGGCGUAAAGCGCGCGCAGGCGGUUAAUUAAGUUGGGUGUUUAAGCCCGGGGCUCAACCCCGGUUCGCAUCCAAAACUGGUUGACUUGAGUGUAGGAGAGGAAAGUGGAAUUCCACGUGUAGCGGUGAAAUGCGUAGAGAUGUGGAGGAACACCAGUGGCGAAGGCGACUUUCUGGCCUAUAACUGACGCUGAGGCGCGAAAGCGUGGGGAGCAAACAGG